rnacentral:tRNA from 1 species
GCGCCCGUAGCUCAAUGGAUAGAGCGAUAGACUUCGAAUCUGUGCGUUGGGGGUUCGAAUCCCUCCGGGCGUG